AUACUUACCUGGCAGGGGAGACACCAUGAUCAAGAUGGUGGUUCACCCAGGGUGAGGCUUGACCAUUGCACUCCGAUUUGUGCUGACCUCUGCGAAUUCCCCAAAUGUGGGACUCUCGAGGGGAAGUUGUGGCCUAAUGAUUAGAGAGUCGGACUCGUA
rnacentral:snRNA from 1 species